AAAUUAAAAGUGCAUUCCUAUAAAUACUCUGUUUAAUUUUAUAAUGAUAUUACUCCCAUCUUACAAUCCAUUAUACAAUUCCCAUGCAUGGCUCUACGUUAGCCGUUUUACCAUAAUGGGAUGACUGAAUAACCGUGAAUUUCAUACGCGCAAACUAGCACAUGUGCAAAGCAGUUACAAAAACUGGCACAAUGCCAAAUGGCAUAAGUGCAAAUGGGCAUAACUGCACAAAAAGAAUUUCAAACAUUGGCAUAAUUGCAAACUGGCAUAUGUGUAAAUUGGCAUAAGUGCGCUAAAUAGAUUUACAAACAUUCGCAUAAGUGUGAAUUGCCAUAAGUGGGAACUGGUAUAAGUGUGAAGCAGUUGCAAAAACUCGCAAAAGUGCAAACAACAUAAAUGCAAACUGGCAUAAGUGUGCCAAAUAAAUUUGCAAAAUUUAGCAUAAUUCCAAACUGCGAAUUUAUUACACGCAUUUAUGUCAGUUCGCACUUCUGCCAGUUUUUGUAACUGUUUUGUACGUAAUCAAAUUUUGCACUUAUGCCUAUUCGUAUUGUUUGCUAACCUGUUUGGCGCACUAAUGCCAAUUUACACUUUUACCAGUUUGCAAGUUUAUAGCUAUAGGUUAUCCUAUAGCUUUAAACUUUAGUCCAGAUAAUUCUUUUAACCCAGAUAAUAUUCAUAUAUAUGACUACACUAAUGGUUAGUGUACACUUAUGAUCUGGACUAUAUUAAUGAUUUAUGACAAAUUCGCUCAUGGCCAAAUCUAAUAUGGCAGCUGGAAAAGGCAAAGGAUCUUUUUAGCCUAACUAAGCUAUACAACUUAAUAAAAGUUUGUGCAUCGACUUCUCACGAAUCAUACACAGAGUCGAUUGUCGAUGCAAUAAUUGCUGAUUCGUGAAAACGGGCAACUUUUGCUUGUCUUAAAGUGCCUUAAGGUGGUAGUAUCGUCAGAAAUUUCAAAUUUUUUUUGAUUUUUUGAAUAUAACUUUUCCUGGCAUUUUCAUUCAUGCUGAAAACGAUGGAACUAUUAUUUUUUCAAUAUAAUCUAUAUAAAGCCUUCUAUUUUUCAUUUUAAAAAAGGUACUAUGAAUUAUUGCUCCUUAGCAACUCCAUAGCAACAAAAGUAAACAAAACAGUAUUGGUUCUUAUUAAUAAGAACCAAUACUGUUUUGUUUACUCAAUAUAUUGAGCUGCCUUAAACAAGUAUUUUCUUCAGUAAGUGUUUAGAAAAUACUAAGUGAUAUUUGGCUUCUUUUUUUCCCUUAAAAAUUAAUUAUAAUCACUUUAUUUCUUGGCGUGAUUGUAAAGUGGCUUCAAAGCAAAUAUUAUUUCAGUUAUUAAUGUUGAAUAUAGCCUGAGUUUAAUUGCUUAGCAUUGUUAUUUUUAGUUAUUUAGUGUAUAUUAAAAUAAAUAAAUUACUUCUAAUCGUUAAAAUGAAAACUGAUGCUUUGAGGAGAAGAAGUAUUGGUGCUUCCAGAGUUUUUUAAAAAAGAAGAAGAACUUCAAGAACAUCAAGUUCGUCUAUUUUUCCCCAAACUGAAAAUACUUUUGCAAGCAGAGAAUUGCCAUUAAUUGAGAGUAAUGAUUUAAGCAUUUUACCUAACUUUACAAGAUUAACCAGCAAUGUUGUUGCUAAUAAUGGAGCUGUUCCACAACCUCAAAGUAAUAAAAACGAGUCUAACUAUAUUUUAAUUGAUCUUGAUAUUAUUGUACAAAUUAUUACCUUAGUUGGAACAUGCCCUGACUGUGAGAGCAAGUCUAUCAACUUAAAUAUAGAUCAUAAAAAUAAAAAAGGUUUAAGUUCAUUGUUGAUAUUGAACUGCAGUGAGUGUUUAUGGAAAACAAAGUUCUAUACCAGUAAAAAAGUUUCAGAUAAAACUUUUGAAAAAUCUUUUGACAUAAAUUUACGUUCUGUAAUUGCAAUGCGUGAAGUUGGAAAAGGACACAGUGCAUUAGAAAAAUUAUGUGGUUUUUUAAACUUACCACCUCCAUUUCAAAAAACUAAUUUUAAUGAUAUUCAAAAUAAAAUAUUGCUGUCAUAUAAAUAUAUUGCAACACAAUCAAUGAUCAAUGCAGCUCUUGAGUUUACAUUAAGAGAUGAUACUGGGAUUUCAGAUAUUACUGUUUCUUGUGAUGGUACAUGGCAGAAACAAGGACAUAACUCUUUAAAUGGUAUAGUAACUGUUGUUGCGGUUGAUACAGGCAAAUGCCUUGACUAUCGUGUUCGCACAAAAAAAUGUAAAGCUUAUGAACUCUGGGAGGAUAAAUUUAACUCUGAUGAGUAUGAAGAGUUUUUGCAAAAACAUAACAAUAACUGCUGCCUCAAUCAUAUUGGAUCUGCUGGAUCUAUGGAAGCAGCAGGACUUGUUGAGUGUUUUAAUGCUUCUGUUUUAGAAAGAAAAUUAAGAUAUAUAAAUUAUCUUGGAGACGGUGACUCUAAAGCAUUUUCAGAUGUUCAAAAACAGAAUCCAUAUGAUGGAAAAGAAAUAACCAAGCUUGAAUGUGUAAGUCAUAUUCAAAAACGAGUUGGAUCAAGACUAAGAAAGUUAAAAACAACUAAUAAAAGCUUAUUAAGUGAUGGUAAAAAAUUAGGGGGAGUUGGUCGUCUAACAGACAAAAAAAUUAACAAGUUACAAAAUUAUUUUGGAAUUGCGAUUCGUCAAUGCUGUGGUAAAUCUGUAUAUGAACUAAAAAAGGCUAUUGGAGCUGUAUUAUUUCAUUGCUUUGAGGCUUCAUCAUUUGAUCUAAGACAUGCAAUGUGUCCUCGAACUAUUGAUACUUGGUGCAAAUAUCAAGCAGACAGAAUAAAUAAAACAAACGUUUAUAAAGAAAAACCAGGUCUGCCUACUGUUAUUAGGGACAUAAUCAAACCAAUAUUUAUUGACUUAUCUGAUGAAAACCUGUUAAAAAGGUGCUUUCAUGGAAAAACUCAAAACAACAAUGAAUAGCUUAUGGUCCUGGAAGUUUUUAGUUGUUUUGCUUUA